UACGUAGGGUGCAAGCGUUGUCCGGAAUUAUUGGGCGUAAAGAGCUCGUAGGCGGUCUGUCGCGUCGGCUGUGAAAACCCGGGGCUCAACCCCGGGCCUGCAGUCGAUACGGGCAGACUAGAGUGUGGUAGGGGAGACUGGAAUUCCUGGUGUAGCGGUGAAAUGCGUAGAGAUGCGGAGGAACACCGAUGGCGAAGGCAGCCCCCUGGGCUGACACUGACGCUCAGGCACGAAAGCGUGGGGAGCAAACAGG
rnacentral:rRNA from 1 species